GUCUUGUAAUUGGAAUGAUGGGAAUCUAAACCCUUCCCAGAGUAUCAAUUGGAGGGCAAGUCUGGUGCCAGCAGCCGCGGUAAUUCCAGCUCCAAUAGCGUAUAUUAAAGUUGUUGCAGUUAAGAAGCUCGUAGUUGAAUUUCUGCCUUGUCAUUAAUCUCGCUUCCGAGCGUUUUUUUAUUGGCUUGGCAUCUUCUGGAUUUGGUGCCUUCGGGUACUAUUUUCCAGGAUUUACUUUGAGAAAACUAGAGUGUUUCAAACAGGCAUUCGCCUUGAAUACUACAGCAUGGAAUAAUGAAGUAGGACUUUGGUUCUAUUUUGUUGGUUAUUGAGCCAGAGUAAUGGUUAAUAGGAGCAGUUGGGGGCAUUCGUAUUUAACUGUCAGAGGUGAAAUUCUUAGAUUUGUUAAAGACGAACUACUGCGAAAGCAUUUGCCAAGGAUGUUUUCAUUAAUCAAGAACGAAAGUUAGGGGAUCGAAGACGAUCAGAUAUAUACCGUCGUAGUCCUAACCAUAAACUA
rnacentral:rRNA from 1 species